rnacentral:rRNA from 1 species
UGCCAGCAGCCGCGGUAAUACGGAGGGUGCUAGCGUUGUUCGGAAUGACUGGGCGUAAAGGGCGCGUAGGCGGCUUUGUAAGUCAGAUGUGAAAGCCCACCGCUUAACGGUGGAACUGCAUUUGAUACUGCAAGGCUUGAAUCAGGCUGAGGUCAGCGGAAUGUGUCAUGUAGCGGUGAAAUGCAUAGAUAUGACAUAGAACACCAAUUGCGAAGGCAGCUGGCUAGACCUGCAUUGACGCUGAGGCACGAAAGCGUGGGGAGCGAACAGGAUUAGAUA